UACGGGGGGGGCAAGCGUUGUUCGGAAUUACUGGGCGUAAAGGGCCAGUAGGCGGCCAACUAAGUCGGAUGUGAAAUCCCCAGGCUUAACCUGGGAACUGCAUCCGAUACUGGAUGGCUUGAAUUCGGGAGAGGGAUGCAGAAUUCCAGGUGUAGCGGUGAAAUGCGUAGAUAUCUGGAGGAAUACCGGUGGCGAAGGCGGCAUCCGGGACCGACAUUGACGCUGAACGGCGAAAGCUAGGGGAGCAAACGGG
rnacentral:rRNA from 1 species